rnacentral:rRNA from 1 species
CUCACCGCCCGUCACAUCGACUUGAAUCUGUUGCUCCCGAAGUCGCUGGCCGAACCCGCAAGGGACGGAGGCGCCGAAGGAGUGGCCGGUGAGAGGGGUG